rnacentral:rRNA from 1 species
CCAGACUCCUACGGGAGGCAGCAGUGGGGGAUAUUGCACAAUGGGGGAAACCCUGAUGCAGCGACGCCGCGUGAGUGAAGAAGUAUUUCGGUAUGUAAAGCUCUAUCAGCAGGGACGAAAAUGACGGUACCUGAGUAAGAAGCCCCGGCUAACUACGUGCCAGCAGCCGCGGUAAUACGUAGGGGGCAAGCGUUAUCCGGAUUUACUGGGUGUAAAGGGAGCGUAGACGGUUAUGCAAGUCUGGAGUGAAAGGCGGGGGCUCAACCCCCGGACUGCUCUGGAAACUGUGUAGCUUGAGUGCAGGAGGGGUAAGCGGAAUUCCUAGUGUAGCGGUGAAAUGCGUAGAUAUUAGGAGGAACACCGGUGGCGAAGGCGGCUUACUGGACUGCAACUGACGUUGAGGCUCGAAGGCGUGGGGAGCACACAGGAUUAGAUACCCCUGUAA